GUGGGGCCAAAAGCCCUCACACUCCUCACACCCCCCGGCUCGGCGCGUCCGAGCUUU
rnacentral:sRNA from 1 species